rnacentral:misc_RNA from 1 species
GAAACAUAAGAUUAAAACCAUAAAUAUCCUCAACAAUCUAUAUAUUAGAGAGUAAUUUAGGCAACGAGGAAGGAGAAAAGGAAAGGGCUCUUAGGGAGAAAGUAGAGUCGAGUCGAAAUGCCUGACCAACUGAACUUACAGACUGUUACCCUACCAUGACUGGAAGAAGGCUACCACAAGAAACGAUCAACAUUCUCCUUUACCAACUGAUACUUGAGCAACUAUUACAGAAACGAGCCAUUUGGAGAGAUGCAUCAAACUUCACUAGUCAUCUUAGUCAUCGUCCUCAUCAUCCCCAGCGUCAUUGUCAUCAUCUUGGUCGUCAUCAUCCUCAUCAGAGUCAUCGUCUUCCUUUCCCUCUUCAUUAGAUUCUUCUUCCUCCAAUUCAUCUUCA